rnacentral:misc_RNA from 1 species
AACACUGUUAACCUGCGGUACCUGCGGAAGGAUCAUUAAACAACUAGGCCGUAACAAGCCUUGAACCCUUCUCUACGCGCACCCUUACCUUCUCCUUCGGCGGGUCAGCGCCCGCCGUCGGAACCAACAAACCCCCUUUUGCAUCUAGCAUACCACCCGUUCCGAUACAAAACACAAUCGUUACAACUUUCAACAAUGGAUCU